AUUGAACGCUGGCGGCAUGCCUUACACAUGCAAGUCGAACGGCAGCGCGGGAGCAAUCCUGGCGGCGAGUGGCGAACGGGUGAGUAAUACAUCGGAACGUGCCCAGUCGUGGGGGAUAACGUAGCGAAAGUUACGCUAAUACCGCAUACGAUCUAAGGAUGAAAGCGGGGGACCGUAAGGCCUCGCGCGAUUGGAGCGGCCGAUGUCAGAUUAGGUAGUUGGUGAGGUAAAGGCUCACCAAGCCGACGAUCUGUAGCUGGUCUGAGAGGACGACCAGCCACACUGGGACUGAGACACGGCCCAGACUCCUACGGGAGGCAGCAGUGGGGAAUUUUGGACAAUGGACGCAAGUCUGAUCCAGCCAUUCCGCGUGCAGGACGAAGGCCUCGGUUGUAA
rnacentral:rRNA from 1 species